GACGAACGCUGGCGGCGUGCUUAACACAUGCAAGUCGAACGAAGUGGCGAACGGGUGAGUAAUACGUGGGUAACCUGCCCUCCUUUUUGGGAUAAGCCUUGGAAACGGGGUCUAAUACCGAAUAAAGGGGGAUGGGCUCGCGGCCUAUUAGCUUGUUGGUGGGGAGAUGGCCUACCAAGGCGGGGACGGGUAGCCGGCCUGAGAGGGUGACCGGCCACAUUGGAACUGAGAUACGGCCCAGACUGCUACGGGAGGCGGCAGUGGGGGAUAGUGCACAAUGGGCGCAAGCCUGAUGCAGCGACGCCACGUGGGGGAUGGAGGCUUUCGGGUUGUAAGCCUCUUUCGAUAUCGAACGGGUAGGUAGCGAAGAAGCGCCGGCUAACUACGUGCCAGCAGCCGCGGUAAUUC
rnacentral:rRNA from 1 species